rnacentral:rRNA from 1 species
UCGGGAAUUUUGGGCAAUGGGCGAAAGCCUGACCCAGCAACGCCGCGUGAAGGAUGAAGUAUUUCGGUAUGUAAACUUCGUAAGAAUAGGAAGAAUAAAUGACGGUACUAUUUGUAAGGUCCGGCUAACUACGUGCCAGCAGCCGCGGUAAUACGUAGGGACCAAGCGUUGUUCGGAUUUACUGGGCGUAAAGGGCGCGUAGGCGGUGUGUCAAGUCAGUUGUGAAAUCUCUGGGCUUAACCCAGAACGGCCAAGUGAUACUGUCGCGCUAGAGUGCAGAAGGGGCAAUCGGAAUUCUUGGUGUAGCGGUGAAAUGCGUAGAUAUCGGGAGGAACACCUGUGGCGAAGGCGGCCACCUGGUUGGAUACUGACGCUGAGACGCGAAAGCGUGGGGAGCAAACAGGAUUAGAUACCCCCGUAGUCCCUGAGCGGGCUGGCAAGGCGCAU